rnacentral:rRNA from 1 species
UCGAGAAUCUUUCACAAUGGGGGCAACCCUGAUGGAGCGACGCCGCGUGGAGGAUAAGGUCUUCGGAUUGUAAACUCCUGUCAUGUGUGAACAAGGUUGUCGUGUUAAUAGCAUGGCAAAUUGAUGGUAACACAAGAGGAAGAGACGGCUAACUCUGUGCCAGCAGCCGCGGUAAUACAGAGGUCUCAAGCGUUGUUCGGAAUCACUGGGCGUAAAGGGUGCGUAGGUGGCGUGGUAAGUCAGAUGUGAA